AAACUUUCAACAAUGGAUCUCUUGGUUCUGGCAUCGAUGAAGAACGCAGCGAAAUGCGAUAAGUAAUGUGAAUUGCAGAAUUCAGUGAAUCAUCGAAUCUUUGAACGCACAUUGCGCCCCCUGGUAUUCCGGGGGGCACACCUAUUCGAGCGUCAU
rnacentral:rRNA from 1 species